rnacentral:rRNA from 1 species
CCUUUAAUGUUUGAUGUUCUAACGUUGGCCCCUAAUCGGGGUUGCGGACAGUGUCUGGUGGGUAGUUUGACUGGGGCGGUCUCCUCCUAAAGAGUAACGGAGGAGCACGAAGGUUGGCUAAUCCUGGUCGGACAUCAGGAGGUUAGUGCAAUGGCAUAAGCCAGCUUGACUGCGAGCGUGACGGCGCGAGCAGGUGCGAAAGCAGGUCAUAGUGAUCCGGUGGUUCUGAAUGGAAGGGCCAUCGCUCAACGGAUAAAAGGUACUCCGGGGAUAACAGGCUGAUACCGCCCAAGAGUUCAUAUCGACGGCGGUGUUUGGCACCUCGAUGUCGGCUCAUCACAUCCUGGGGCUGAAGUAGGUCCCAAGGGUAUGGCUGUUCGCCAUUUAAAGUGGUACGCGAGCUGGGUUUAGAACGUCGUGAGACAGUUCGGUCCCUAUCUGCCGUGGGCGCUGGAGAACUGAGGGGGGCUGCUCCUAGU